GUGAAUUACGGGGCCAUGGAUGUGGACACCAUGGAGGGGGAAGUGGAGCGUUUUCAGUGGAGUUGGCUCCUCCCCGCACUGAGCCGUGUUCCUAUGUCAGGUGGCAGCGGGGAAGCGAGGGUCCAAUCCUGCCCUGCGCUAGUCCUCAUCUGAGUCUCAGCCUGGGUCCCCCAUGGUUUUAGCAACACGGGUGGCGAGCAGAUCAACCAGGUGGCAUUGGAGGCGUGGCGCAGCCGGCGGGACCGCGAGGAGAUCCUCCUGCAGGAGCUGGAGCCGGUCAUCUCCCGCGCGGUGCUGGACAACCCGCACCAUGGCUUCUCAAACUCGGGCAUCAUGGAAGAGCGCCUCCUAGACGCAGUGGUGCCCUUCCUCCCGCUCCAGCGGCACCACGUCCGGCACUGCGUGCUCAACGAGCUGGCCCAGCUGGGCCUGGAGCCAAGGGAUGAGGUUGUCCAGGCUGUGCUGGACAGCACCACCUUCUUCCCUGAAGACGAGCAGCUCUUCUCCUCCAACGGCUGCAAGACCGUGGCCUCCCGAAUCGCCUUCUUCCUCUGACUCUCUGAGUGGUGUCCUCGGCGCCCCUGAUGGCCAGGCCAUGCAGGAAAGGCCUGGGGCCUCUGUCACAGGAACCCAGAGCACCAAGUGAGAUGAACGGAGUGUCGGCUAGGCCACGGGAC
rnacentral:sRNA from 1 species